CCUACGGGAGGCUGCAGUGGGGAAUAUUGGACAAUGGGGGCAACCCUGAUCCAGCCAUGCCGCGUGUGUGAAGAAGGCCCUCGGGUUGUAAAGCACUUUCAGUGAGGAAGAACGCCUGGUGGUUAAUACCCAUCAGGAAAGACAUCACUCACAGAAGAAGCACCGGCUAACUCCGUGCCAACAGCCGCGGUAAUACGGAGGGUGCGAGCGUUAAUCGGAAUUACUGGGCGUAAAGCGCGCGUAGGUGGCUUGAUAAGCCGGUUGUGAAAGCCCCGGGCUCAACCUGGGAACGGCAUCCGGAACUGUCAAGCUAGAGUGCAGGAGAGGAAGGUAGAAUUCCCGGUGUAGCGGUGAAAUGCGUAGAGAUCGGGAGGAAUACCAGUGGCGAAGGCGGCCUUCUGGACUGACACUGACACUGAGGUGCGAAAGCGUGGGUAGCAAACAGGAUUAGAUACCCGGGUAGUC
rnacentral:rRNA from 1 species